rnacentral:rRNA from 1 species
GACGAACGCUGGCGGCGUGCUUAACACAUGCAAGUCGAACGGAAAGGCCCUGCUUUUGUGGUGUGCUCGAGUGGCGAACGGGUGAGUAACACGUGAGUAACCUGCCCUUUACUUUGGGAUAACUUCAGGAAACUGUGGCUAAUACCGGAUAGGAGCUCCUGCUGCAUGGUGGGUGUUUGAAAGUUUCGGCGGUUGGGGAUGGACUCGCGGCUUAUCAGCUUGUUGGUGGGGUAGUGGCUUACCAAGGCUUUGACGGGUAGCCGGCCUGAGAGGGUGACCGGCCACAGUGGGACUGAGAUAGGGCCCAGACGCAUACGGGAGGAAGGAGUGGGGAAUAGUGCAAAAUGGGCGGAAGCCGGAUGCAGCAACGCCGGGUGCGGGAGGACGGCCGUAGGGGUGGAAACCGCGUUCGCCUGUGAAGAAGAGUGAGUGACGGUAAUGGGUAAAGAAGCACCGGCUAACUACGUG